rnacentral:rRNA from 1 species
UACAGAGGUCUCAAGCGUUGUUCGGAAUCACUGGGCUUAAAGGGCGCGUAGGCGGUUGAUCAAGUCUGGGGUGAAAUCUUUCGGCUUAACCGGAAAAGUGCCUUGGAUACUGGUCAGCUGGAGGGAGGUAGGGGCAGUUGGAACUUCCAGUGGAGCGGUGAAAUGCGUUGAUAUUGGAAGGAACGCCGGUGGCGAAAGCGAGCUGCUGGACCUCUUCUGACGCUGAUGCGCGAAAGCUAGGGGAGCAAACGGG